UGGAGGCCAAGAACCAUCUGAUGCGAAGCGGAAGCCGUUUAUUAUCAUGCUCAUUCGCCAAGUUAAAGAUAAGUUAAAACUAGUUUUGCUCUUUGCACCGCAAUAUUCGACCGGAAGGGUAAAAAUAACUUUUCGUCAGUUGCAGUUCUCUAUAUGCCUCACACUAUUCUUAGAUACUGUCUUCCUCUAAACUGCGGAAUUGAAAAAAGUAUGCAGCAGUGAACCGUUUCAACAUCAUGUUUUAAAAGAGUCCAUCAAUAUCACAAUAAAUGUCUCAAAGAAGAACAUUUUUCAAAAUUGGAGGAAUUCUAGUGUUGUUGCCAAACCGUUAAACAGCCAUGAGAGCAGGUGGAUUUAAAUUAAAAUACACUAAAAUGAACGAGGAAAAAAAACAAAGGGAAUUUAAACGUGAACUGCAGGAGGGGUGAAUUUAUAAGAAAGGGGUGUGGGUGUGUAUUUAAUUUAAGAUACAUUUGAAAACUUUUAAGUGAUUAAAAAACGUAAAAAAAAAAAUGUCAGCAAUUGAGUAAUUUCGCCACAAGAGGUCGGAAUAAUCAUGUAUUAUUCAUACGAAUAGCGCGUUCACACAAGAAGCAAGCAAGCACAAUUUUAAACGUGCGAGACGCUGCAAAGGACGCGACGCGCGUCUGUCCUGCGCAUGUUUACAUAGAAAAGCAUGGGAAAAGCAGCGCAGGAGAAUGCAAAAAAAAAAAAAAAAAAAAAAAAAAAGGCCUGUUUGACCGUCCUCUAUACUGUUGUGUUGCUUGAACUCUUGGCACACCCACAGCCAGGUGGAACAUCAGCGGUAGAACUUGACGCAUUAUGACGCCAUAGUUCUAAAGCGACUUCAGUGGAAUCUGUUCAGCGCAGUUCAUCUGUGAGUGAAGUUAUUCAGACCAUUUAACUGUUUGUGAUCGCAAUGAAAAGCCGAAAAAGCAAGAAGCCGACAAGGCCAAGCAUUACUCCUACUUUUGAGAGCCAUUCCCAGACUCAGUUACCUCAAUUUAUUCCUUCCUCGCCUGACCCAUCUUCUAACACGAGGUCUCCAUCCAGGCGCACGAAGGGAAGACAAAGAAAAGUUGUAUUCCCUGACAUUGGGAAUGCAGCAAAUUCUGUGACCAGAAGAAACGGCACCGGAGACCUUUUACCCCCCGUCCCGGUGAUUCCAGCAGUGCCAAAAGGCGACCAGAAUGGGAAGACCAUCUGCAGUGAUGCUGCGACCUUUCUCUCUGCCACUGACAGAGCAAGACUUUUUGGCAUCAACAAGUGGUAUUAGAGUCCAGGGAGGAGAUGAAGUCAUCAGAAAAAGAAGAAAUCUGUCUAUGUAAAAUAAUAACUUUGCAUUAAAAUUCUUCACUGUCAUUUUACUUGAACUACAGUCUGUGAAAACUUGUUUCUGUCAUGGAGUAAAAAUUAUAAAAGAUAAUCAGGACUUUUUAAUUUCACAGUUUAUACUCCUUUCAUGCAGUUCUAAGAAAAAAGGGUAGAAUUAUAAGAUAUAAAGUCAGGGCUUUGAGAUAUAAACUAGCAUUACUAAGAGAAGACAGAAUUGUACGUAGCUUGUUUCCUUGUGUUUUUCUCAGUUUCUAAAAUGUAAAACUGAAAAUGUAGAACUAUGAGAUAUAAAUUCAUA